rnacentral:rRNA from 1 species
CCUACGGGAGGCAGCAGUGGGGAAUAUUGGACAAUGGGGGGAACCCUGAUCCAGCCGUGCCGCGUGUGUGAAGAAGGCCCUCGGGUUGUAAAGCACUUUCAGUGAGGAAGAACGCCUGGUGGUUAAUACCCAUCAGGAAAGACAUCACUCACAGAAGAAGCACCGGCUAACUCCGUGCCAGCAGCCGCGGUAAUACGGAGGGUGCGAGCGUUAAUCGGAAUUACUGGGCGUAAAGCGCGCGUAGGUGGCUUGAUAAGCCGGUUGUGAAAGCCCCGGGCUCAACCUGGGAACGGCAUCCGGAACUGUCAAGCUAGAGUGCAGGAGAGGAAGGUAGAAUUCCCGGUGUAGCGGUGAAAUGCGUAGAGAUCGGGAGGAAUACCAGUGGCGAAGGCGGCCUUCUGGACUGACACUGACACUGAGGUGCGAAAGCGUGGGUAGCAAACAGGAUUAGAUACCCGGGUAGUC